UGGGGAAUCUUCCGCAAUGGACGAAAGUCUGACGGAGCAACGCCGCGUGAGUGAAGAAGGCCUUCGGGUUGUAAAGCUCUGUUAUUAGGGACGAACGUAUUAUGUGUAAACAAUGCAUAAUAGUGACGGUACCUAAGGAGGAAGCCACGGCUAACUACGUGCCAGCAGCCGCGGUAAUACGUAGGUGGCAAGCGUUGUCCGGAAUUAUUGGGCGUAAAGCGCGCGCAGGUGGGCUAGUCAGUCUCAUGUAAAAGUGCGGGGCUCAACCCCGUAGAGCGUGAGAAACUGCUAAUCUUGAGUGCCGGAGAGGAAAGCGGAAUUCCCAGUGUAGCGGUGAAAUGCGUAGAUAUUGGGAGGAACACCAGUGGCGAAGGCGGCUUUCUGGACGGUGUCUGACACUGAGGCGCGAAAGCCAGGGGAGCGAACG
rnacentral:rRNA from 1 species